GGCUUGUUGAUUUUAAUUUCAAGUCUGACCUGCCCAAUGAUAUUUAUUUUAAUGGCCGCAGUAUAUUAACUGUGCAAAGGUAGCAUAAUCAUUAGUUUUUUAAUUGGAAGCUUGUAUGAAGGGUUUGAUGAAAAAAUUUCUGUCUCUAGAAAAGUUUAUUAGAAUUUUAUUUUUAAGUGAAAAAGCUUAAAUUUGUAUAGAAGACAAGAAGACCCUAUAGAGUUUUAUAUUUAUAUUUUAUUAAUAUAAUUUAUAUUAAGUAUUUAAUUGGGGUGAUAGAAAAAUUGAUUUAACUUUUUCUUUUUUGUACAUUGAUUUAUGGUUAUUUGAUCCUAGAUUUAGAUUAUAAGAAGAAACUACCUUAGGGAUAACAGCGUGAUUUUUUUUAGAGUUCUUAUCGAAAAGAGAGAUUGCGACCUCGAUGUUGGAUUAAAAUUAAUUGUUGGUGAAGAAGUUUACAAAUUAGGUCUGUUCGACCUUUAAAAUUUUACAUGAUCUGAGUUUAAACCGGUGUGAG
rnacentral:rRNA from 1 species